rnacentral:rRNA from 1 species
UACGUAGGGGGCAAGCGUUGUCCGGAAUCAUUGGGCGUAAAGCGCGUGUAGGCGGCCAUCCAAGUCUGGUGUGAAAGCUCGGGGCUCAACCCCGAGUCUGCAUCGGAAACUGGGUGGCUAGAGUCCGGAAGAGGAGACUGGAAUUCCUGGUGUAGCGGUGAAAUGCGCAGAUAUCAGGAAGAACACCGGUGGCGAAGGCGGGUCUCUGGGACGGUACUGACGCUGAGACGCGAAAGCGUGGGGAGCAAACAGGAUUAGAUACCCCCGUAGUCC